UACAGAGGUCUCAAGCGUUUGUUCGGAUUCAUUGGGCGUAAAGGGUGUGUAGGUGGCGCGCUAAGUCGGGUGUGAAAUUUCGGAGCUUAACUCCGAAACUGCAUUCGAUACUGGCGUGCUUGAGGACUGGAGAGGAGACUGGAAUUUACGGUGUAGCAGUGAAAUGCGUAGAUAUCGAUAAGGAAGACCAGUGGCGAAGGCGGGCC
rnacentral:rRNA from 1 species